ensembl:lncRNA
CUCUAGUGAAAGUCCAUUUUUCCUGCUCCUUUUUGUUAAUCACAGGAUUCCAUUAUACUGACAAUAAUCUACAGUUAUUCGUAUCUGAACACUGAUCCCCAGUGAAGCCGGGAUGGAGUUAAAAUGCUUGGAAUUUGUUCUCUAUAGUGCUGCUUUUCAUGUUGAGCAAAAAUACAGCACUUAUAAUUUGUUCCCCUGUAGUAUUUGUCAUCUUUUUACCGCUCUCUUAAGAGUGUAAUUCCUGCCCAAUAUUUUCUUUUUAAACUACCUCUCAUUUAAAUACACGCUUUGUGUUUUCUUAAAAUAAACGCUGUCAUGCAGCUCUUCUACUUCCUUUAUUGAGAAAACAGUAAUACUCAUACGAUUGUGGAAAAAAAGUUGAGAGGGAGGGAGAGACAGGGAAAGGAAGCAGAAAUCAUAACCAAAAAGUUCACACUGAUUAUUGAAAUAGUCAGUGCUCCCUUGGGCUGUGGGGAAGGGAAAGGCACUUUUACAGUGUUUUGGAACAUUUUUCUUCCUCGGGAUUCUGACUUUUCACCACAUAUUUAUGCUACGUUGAGAGAGGAGAAGAAAAGAAAAAGAACUCAAAGGUUUUACAGUUUCGAAGCAAAUAAAGGGGAGAUGCUGUUGUGGCUGCAGAGGUGAGCUAUGGACAGCUGGUGGAAGAGAAUCAGGCCCCAUGGUAAAGAGGGAAAGGACGGAGCAGCUCUCUUGUCUGCCAGAAGAUGAACAUUGCAGUGGGCAUACCAUGGGGCCAGACCACCAGCAGAGCAUUAAACAAGGACAGAUGUGAAUGCCAGGAUAAAAAUGAAGACAUUCCUGAAGUGCUUACUGAAGCUGUUGAUGAUAGUAUUUCAGAACUUACAAGUUUUCCUGACCCAGCUUUGAGCAGUUUACAGUGUCAUCAUAUUUUCCAUCUGAAAAUCUAGGCAGAAGAGCAUGUUUACAAUAGUUCCGUUAGAAAUAGCUUGAGAAAGUCUUCAGUGGGAGAAACCCAAAAGAUGGGAUAUCCCACAGCUGUCAACAGGAGCACCCAGGAGCUGCAGUGAGGGUGUUGGACACUGUACAAAAGAGGGGCAGAUCAUCAGUAGCAGUAUUUAGAGGCAUUGCAGAGCUUUGACCAUUGAAUUCCUCAUAGCGAGCUGCAACCUGCUGCUCCUUCCACCUGGAGGAGGAUGCAGUGAGUCUGCAAUGAUACACAAGUCCAUGUGGGAUCCCUGAUCUCUUCUGCUGCUCAAAGCCACAAGGGAGGAGAUAUCUUCUGCGUAGCCUGUUUCCAACAGAUGUGUGACGUGCAAAGCAAUUUAAUGCAGCACAUAGCAUCUAUGACAUCAGAACCAUUCCCUGCCAGCACUUUAACAAGAUUCCAUUUUGCAUGUCCAGCUUCAGGACUUUCCGAGGGCUCUGUUGCUUUAAGAUACAGAAGACUGGUUCAGACCUUCACAAGAAGCUGUCAGCAGAGUUUGCAAUGUCCUGCAAGCCUUGAAUUGCAUGUAGGAUUUUGUAUUGGCUCAGUAUUACUUACAGUGUUUUGCUGUUUGUGAUUAGGUUUGCAGGAAGGCUGACUGCGGAGUUCUGAUCUGGAUUUCUCCAAAGUGUUUGGGUCUGUUCUGGGCUGCAGCAUGCUGUAGUCGGCAUUUGUUCAUAUAAACAUCUGUAAAACAUUUGGCAUUACUUGAAAAUAUUAGUCACAAUUGUAAAACUAAUAAAAAUCCUUCUUUCUUAUUUUAACUAUAAGGUGGUCAUAUAUGCUGGGCACUCGUCAUUGAUUUAGAUGUUAUCUCUCUGCUAGUAACAUUUUUGCUGUGCUUGCUCCAAAGGCUGCAUUUUUGAUCUGGGAGCAAUUCUCAGCUAAGAAAAUUCAUUCAACUGAAGCUCUGUGCCAGAACUUGGAGGACUUGCAGUUGAUUUACAUCCAGGUGCUCUAUACCAAUUUGUACCAAUUCUCAAACCUCUCUGACAAAAUCCACAGUAGAUUUUCAGCAUGCCCUAAUAAGCAGCACUUUCUUAUGCAAAGGGAGGCUCCUCAGAUGAUCACUCAGACUAUAAUAAAGAUGAGGACUUUGUACAGAUAUUUUAAACACUCUAAAUGAAAGGUAUUAGCAAAGUGUUGUGAAAUAAGGGCUUCACUAUAUGAAUUACUUACCUCUGAAAUGCAGUGUUAUUGUAGCAAAUUAACUAAAUCCAGAGGCACUUUCCCCUGCAGAUAUAUGCCUACAGUUGUGUCUAAAUGCAAUGCAGGAUGAAUAAAGUCCUGAGUGCCAUGUGGUAAAAAGCACUUUUCAUGUGGCAUAAGCACUUCAACCCAUGAAUUUGCAAUUAAAAUGAAUUUCAAGAGGCAUUUUACUGAGAUUACGUAAUGUAUUUGUUAAGUAUAUGCCAAAUAUUCACUGCUCAUUGGGCUUUCUGAGUCAGAAAAUUCUGUGUAUACUUUCCUUUACUAUGGACUAAAUAAGGAGCAACCACUUCUUAUCUGCUGCGGCUUGAAACAGAGUCAGAUAUUAUGAUUUGGCAACUUGUCAUGCUGAAACAACUCAGUCAUACAGCCACAGCCUGAGGGUGUAUACCGCCAUAACUGGAAUUUGCUGACAAAUUAUGAGAACACCCCUCAUAUGGACACCGCUCAUGCUUCAGACUAAAAUAUACAACACAAUUUAUAUAUGACAGCAUAUAUAUGACAUGCUUUUGCAUAGUCUUGCUACGUUUUCCAAAAUGUCUCAAUUUUCGGGUUACAGACUGUGACCCACUUCAAGUUCUUGCUGGGUAAAGCCAGAAGUUCUCUUUGUGUGUAUGUAAUCUUGUAAAAAUUGAUUCACAUUGGCCUGUUUCAACUUCAGAAGUCAGUCAGCAGGAAUGGCACCUCUAGUUCCCAGGAAGCAGAGAAGAGCUGAUGCUGUGUCCUUGAAAAUUUGCCCUGUAUGCCCAUCAGUGAUGGUGCGUGGCUGUGCUGAGCGCUUCAGUAACAGAGCUUUUUUCCCAAGUAUGGCUAUGAUGUCUUUGUUUAUAGAAUACUUUUCUAAACCAGGUUCAGCAUCAUGCCUACAAAAUUAGUAAUCACAUUUUUGGCAAGUAUUAGGUCAUACUAUCUGCAGAUUGUUCAUAGCUUGUUUAGGACUAAAUAAAAUUUGCUCUUUGUUCUGAGAUUAGUUUUCACUUCUACUUGGGCAGAGCUUCAGCUUUCUCAUUUAUCUGCCAAAUGUCACUUCACUGAGUCUAUCCUCCCACCCAAAAGAGGAAGCUCCUUCAAAGCUACAUUUGCUGGACUUGGAAAAUAACAUCUAAGGCUCCCUUAAAUAAUGACCAUAAAGAAUACUUCCGAGAUAGCAGACAUUAGUAUGAUGAUAUUAGUAUCAACCUCCGCUCUUUUGUUAUUCUUGUGUUUUGAAGAGCCUCAGGGAGGAUUGUAGGCACACCUUUUUCACUGGUGUCUUUUGUUGGCUGACCUGAAGGUAGAAGGUGCCCUAUCGGGCUAUAGUGAGUUUGUCUGGGGCUCUUCAUUCCAUCUGCUCUACUACUCUGCUAAGCGUUCCCAUUCCUCAAUAGAUGUGUACAAGCAGCACUCUGGGCUAGCUGUCACUCACUCGCUUUCUGAAUGCAGAGAAGAAAAGGAGCAAAUGAGGAGAGAACAGUGAGUGGGAAUCGUUUCCCUGCCUUCCUGCCCUUGUCAGGCACACAUUAAUUGUGACAGUGGUUUGAACAUCAAAGAAUGUAGACAUGAGAAGUAAAGAUGUGAGCCGACAGAAAGAGAGAAAGAGGAAAGAAUAGGUGUGGUGUUACAAGAGGAGGUGUGUGGUAGAUCUAAGGGCUUAACUUCCAUGAGGUAAUUAUAGAAGCAUAAACAAUAAAUCAGACUUUAUCUGGCAAACCUUUGACCAUACAAAAAAAGGAAGAUACAUCAGUGGGAUUAUAGGAUCUAGCUCUGUAAGGCAUGGGUUAUAGCCAUGCAGUUUUGGGCCCUCGGUUUCUCUUUGAGCAGCUUGAUAGCAAGGCAUGCAUCAAAACUGUUACUGAAAACAUGCUGUGGGUUUCUUGUAUCUUCAGCUGAAGGAGAAAGCUGUUACUGAUUACUGGCUACGCUGGUUGUAUUUCAGGGCUGGUCUUGUGUGGUGGUUUUCUUUUCAGCUCUGAAGUCAGUUAGCUGUGUGAUAACCUCCUUCUUCCCCACCAGGGAAGAUCUCCAAGAGUCCACUUCUGUGACAGAUCUGUGCAGUGGAAAGAACUAAGGUGGGAACAAAGGCUCUCCUUCUUUCCUUUUCCGCACCCCUAUCCCCUUCUCCUCCAUUUCUGCAGCACCAGAAUGAAAAUCAGGCUCCUUCACCCCUUCAUGCAUACUGCAAAAUCUGUAUCACCAUUGUCUAAUCAACAAAAUGAUUUGUAAAGAUUUCACUUUACCUUUGAUCUUGCAAAAUGAGAGUAGCUUUAAGAAAAGCCAGAUACUUUAAAGAUCACCACAUGGUUUUAAUAGCAUUUUCUACUUUGUUUCAUAACUUGAAUGAACAAGAUAUGAACAGUAUUCCUAUUGUCACCACAUUUCACUGUGUUAUCACGUUUGCUAAUAUUUCCUAGUUAAAAAAAAUUUGGCAGCUAUUAUGAAGCUGAUGUAACUUAAUAUCUGCUUCUAGCUCCAUCAGUAGAGCCUGUUCCAAAGCUUACUGAAGCUGCUAGAAACUUGCUCUCUGGCUUCAGUCAGUUUGAGAUCUGAAGUACAGAAAGGGAAAUGACAUGCUCGGAAGGUUUCCCACCUUUCAGAUCCCAUUUCUUUUCCCUCUUCAGCUAUGCAAAAGCUCUCACCACAUUGCAGAGCACAGUGUGGUUUGGAUGCUGUAUGCACAUAUGUGAACAUGAUGGGUUUAUGGGUGUAUUUUUGCUGACAAACUGAAAUCAUGGGAGAAAGAGAGAGGAAGUACUUUGUUUCAGAUUUGAAGUUACAUUUUUGAAUUGUAAAUAGAGUUUCUGAGAAGUUAAACAAAAAUAAAGAUGUUUUCAUUUCUUUGCCACUGAAAAUGCACAGAAUAAAAAUUGAGAGGAGGAGUGGAGAAAGAUGACAUCCUGGACUCUUCCGUUUUGUUUUCUCCCCAUUACUGCCAUGCUCCUUCACUUGCAUGACAGGGGUGAGUCUAAACUAGUGCACAGAUUGCUCUUCCACUUCAUAGCCAGGCAGCUGCUUCCUGCCCUGAUAACUAAUUUCAUUUAUUUCCUUUUCAGAAGACGGCCUGCCCUGGGUGGCAAUUACAGUUGGUUAAUUUUGGCACAAUGUGAAUAAAAGCAGAUUGAUAUAAAUCACUGAACAGUGUAGCUUAUGAAAAUGCAAGUUAAAGUAGCGCCCCAACCACAGUGCUGUCAUGAGAGAAGCUGAAAGCCAGAUGUUGGUCUAAUCAUGAUAGAAAUAAUCUAGUAGCAGACUUUAUCCUCUGGAGCUUGAAAGCCUUACCUAAUGGUUUUUGUCAGCCAGAUACCUCAGUGUUGCAAUACAUAUUGAAUGUUUUAGAGGAUCAGAAGUUGGUUUGUUUUCUUGGCUUAUAGAUGGAUAUUCUGGGAGUAGCUUUGUGUACACGAUCUGCGGGAGCCCCAGGUGAAAAGCACCUAGUAGGGGAUAAGAGACAUUCUGAGUAUCUAAGGUGUCCAAGUGUCUUGGACACUCAAAAUCUUACCUUAUUUUAAAGUAACCUAUGUGUGGUUGUGUCAUUAGAAUAAUGAACAAAUAAUGAGUGCUUCUGGAAUCACCAGAGGUAGAUAUAUGUGUGUACACUGAGUGUAAUUAAAACUGCAAACAGAUCCUUCCUGCAUCUCACUGCAUUUAUCAAGGAAAAACUACAUUAAUUGAAAAUAGUGCCUGUAAGUUAAAGUCUUUAUUUUUGGAUCAGCAGAGAUGUGAUAGGAUGAGUUCACCUUAAGUUAAAUGUGAAUGCCCCGAUUACAAGCUUGUUUCAGGCUCUGUAUGGCUUAAAAUGUGAGCCUGUUCUGGCUACUGUGCACCCAUAGGUGAACUCUGCAGGCUGAAGAAUAAGUGUGGGGGCUCCUGAGCCAGCAUCCUGCCCAACACUUUCAUCUGGCAUGCUGUCAUCUCCUCUGAGAGGCCCUGCAUGAUAUUGAGGUGACACAAGGUGCAGCUAGGGAGAGAUGAAGCUAUGGUCCACAAUGACACAGUUCAUAUGUACUAGCAGACACCAUGUGCUACUGCUAUCAGUUUUCAUACCAGAUUAUUCACUGGGCUCUGCAAUAAGAAAAUGAUAGAAAAGCCAUUAAUUUGUCUGGUGAUUAAGCUGGACAAGGAAACCCUAUAAAGACCAACAUCUGCUUUCUAAAAUAGAAUAGUCCGGAUGGAAGGGACCUACUAAGGUCAUCAAGUCCAGCUACUGUGGAUGGCAUAAAAACAUUUGGUUCAGGGACAAUUUAUGCCCUCCAAAAAUGUCUUUUUUCUAGGGACAAACCCUCCACUUCUUUCAAAGGUAUUUUGCACCUGGUAUGUGCAGUCUACAUUUUAUAACAUUUUUAACAAAAGAAAAAUGUAAGAAGAGGGAACUGCUUCUUUGUUUUGCUUGAGACUUGUGCCAGAACAAUCUCCAAGGAAUUGACAGUGCCCUGAUCAGAUAGAAAUAAAUUAUGGGGACACUAUUUUAUAUCCUUAUGUGUCUCUGUGCAAAUGCAUUUGGAGAUGGUGAUGUGAAUGUGAAAAAAUAACAUUUGUGGAGAUAUGGAAAUGAAGAGGGAGGAAAAAAGAGGAAAAGAGAAGGGGAGCAAGCUGCUGAGAGCACAGCCACUCGGCCAGCUACCUGCAUCAGACAGUGACCAAAGCCUCUGCCCAAGACAGUCUUUGUAUUCUAUGAUAUGAAUUUUCUUCAACAGUAGAGCACAAUUUUCCUGAACUCUCUUUUUCUUUUCCUACCAAAAAGGAUGUUUUGGAGAAUCUUUGCUGACUGUCACAUUGCAAUUACUGCAGUGCGGAUGGCAAAGUUUGUGGGAAGGAGCAAUACUGAAGAAGAGUUAAAAAUUAAGGCAACUUGUUUGGGUUUUUCGUUGUUGUUUUUAUAUAUAACAUAUGCAGAUCUGUUGAGGUUUUUUUUUUUCUUCAUUUUAAGAAAAGCUUCAAAAUUAGGAUAGAAAAAUGAUUUUUUUCUCAUUCCCAGUCUUUUGUUUUAAGCAUCUGUGCUUUGUUUUAAUCAUGGAUGUGCAUGAUCAAGAAAUUACACUGAGAUCUGCUCCCAUUCCAUGGAACACUCAGAGCAAAACCUCUAUGGUUCUUCAGAGUAACCUUCUCUUGCACUGGGCUUCACAUCAUAUACUACUUAAAUCUGAGCACACACACUUUCAGAGUCAAGGCUUUACAAGGUCUGGACUGUUUCUUUCUUUGAUGAAUAGUAUAUGGUGCCAAAAUUUGCCAGAUCCUGCCUGUACAAAACAGGGGCUUAGAAUUAACAUUGUAUGUGUUUAAUGGCAGAAAAAAAAACAGACUUGGUCUUCUGGUGGAAGGGAGUCUUAUGCACAACAGUAUCUCUGGAUUGUAUUUGUUGCUUUCACAGACAUAAUGACUUUUCCAUGUGUUUGCUGCUGCUGAAAUUGCCAUUAAAAGAACUACGUUGAUGGUAUCAAAUUCUUGUACUUUUGUGGUAACCUUGUUCAAACAAAGCAAGAAACUUCACGCUUUUUCAGAAGCUGUACCCUUGACACAAAGAGAUACGGAAAAAUAGAGAAAGGUGAUGAGCUAUUCUCAAAUCGAGAAUAUCUAAGCCAGUAACUUAAUGCUGGCUUAACACUGUUUUGUUUGUCCUUAUUCCCCUGUAAUCAGAGAAGACUGCAGAUUCCUAGAAAUCCAUCAGUAUGGCUCAUUGCUGGUAUGGCACAGUGGUGGCACUAUGCAAGAUUUCCAACAGUGCCAACCAUGUGUUGUGUGUCUGUUCAGCAGAAGCACUGGUGGGAUAGUAAAAUGCUUGCUUGAGUCAAGAUAAUGUCAGUUGCUUAUGCUCCUUAAAAAUCUACUGGUGCUAAGAAAAUGUUGCUCUAAUCAUCUGAACGUUGCUGCUUUGAAAAAGUAUGAAUAUGAAAUCCCACAUAUGUGAUAAUGAUUUUGAGAAAGCAAUGAUCACUGCAACUAAAGCAUUUGCAUCUGUUAAAAGCACAGCUUGCUCUUUCACUUGUGUCAAAGCUGCUGGCACAGAAUUCAAAGUACUGGAUUGGCAACUCUAUCAGGAAGCAAGUGCAGCACAAAGCCAUAAUAGCUGUCUUGGUUUGCUUUUGUUAUCUAAAAAAUUUCAAGUGCUUUGGAUAACAUAAGGUGCCAUAUAACUAUGGAAGUUGUUGGGCAGCAGCUUGACAGCCAUAUGCCUAUAUCUAUAAUGUAUGCACAGCCUCAUCUUUAACUACAUGUUUUCCUUUAGCAGCUGUGGCAACAGUGGUGAGUUCAAACAAUUCCCACACAGUGAAAAUGCAGCUGGAGGCAAUGGCUUCUCUGCUGAGGGCACAGAAGACACAAGCACUCCGGUCACUUAAAGACUUUCAGAGGGGCCAAAGCUACCUCAGCGCUUACUGUCUGAUCUAUGCCAACUGUGUUGCAAAGAUUCCCAUCCUAACAUUAACCAGCUCACUGUGAAGUCAUGCACAGUGCAGAAAGGCAGGGAUAUUGGAGGUCAGUUCAGCACCGUGGUGAAGCAGCACUCCUGCUCCUGGUGCUGGUGCUAAUGCAUGUGGGUCACCAGGGCUAUCUCUGCACUGCUGCCAGGGUUAAGCCAGUUCAUGGUUCUCUGCACCUGUGGAGUAAACCUUUUUUUUUUUCUGAAAACUCCUUUUUUGCCUUUCUCAGACAGUGAGCAUGGAAGAACUGAGACAGUAUGGGAGCAGCUGCAAAGGGUAUCCAAGCUCAGCUAGGAGAAGCCUCUGAAACAAGAACCAUCUGACCAGUGUUCAGAAGAAGUGAUGGUGGAGUAGAGGCCCUCAACACUUCAUUAACUUGCAUCAUCCCUUCCCUCAGCUGCCCACCUGUGUGUUCAGCUGUUUAAACUAGGGAUAGGCAGCAGGAGCUUGGAGGGCUUCUUCCAUGGGACUGGGAUAUGUCAUGCU